rnacentral:rRNA from 1 species
AUUGAACUCUGGCGGCAGGCUUAACACAUGCAAGUCGAACGAGUGGCGGACGGGUGAGUCAUGCUUGGGAAUCUAGCUUAUGGAGGGGGAUAACUACGGGAAACUGUAGCUAAUACCGCGUACCAUAGGCUGAGCCCAAGUGGGAUUAGGUGUUUGGUGAGGUAAAGGCUCACCAAGCCGACGAGCUCUAGCUGGUCUGAGAGGAUGACCAGCCAUACUGGGACUGGGACACGGCCCAGACUACUACGGGAGGCAGCAGUGGUGAAUAUUGCGCAAAGGGGGCAACCUGACGCAGCCAUGCCGCGUGAAUGAAGAAGGCCUUCGGGUUGUAAAGUUCUUUCGGUAGCGAGGCGUUAACUACAGAAGAAGCACCGGCUAACUCCGUGCCAGCUGCCGCGGUAAAC